rnacentral:rRNA from 1 species
GACGAACGCUGGCGGCGUGCUUAACACAUGCAAGUCGAGCGGUAAGGCCCUUUCGGGGGUACACGAGCGGCGAACGGGUGAGUAACACGUGGGUGACCUGCCCUCAGCUCUGGGAUAAGCCCGGGAAACUGGGUCUAAUACCGGAUAUGACUCCACGGUGCAUGUCGUGGGAUGGAAAGCCUUGUGCGGCUGAGGAUGGGCCCGCGGCCUAUCAGCUUGUUGGUGGGGUGAUGGCCUACCAAGGCGACGACGGGUAGCCGGCCUGAGGGGGCGACCGGCCACACUGGGACUGAGACACGGCCCAGACUCCUACGGGAGGCAGCAGUGGGGAAUAUUGCACAAUGGGCGGAAGCCUGAUGCAGCGACGCCGCGUGAGGGAUGACGG